GACGAACGCUGGCGGCGUGCUUAACACAUGCAAGUCGAACGGAAAGGCCCUGCUUUUGUGGGGUGCUCGAGUGGCGAACGGGUGAGUAACACGUGAGUAACCUGCCCUUGACUUUGGGAUAACUUCAGGAAACUGGGGCUAAUACCGGAUAGGAGCUCCUGCUGCAUGGUGGGGGUUGGAAAGUUUCGGCGGUUGGGGAUGGACUCGCGGCUUAUCAGCUUGUUGGUGGGGUAGUGGCUUACCAAGGCUUUGACGGGUAGCCGGCCUGAGAGGGUGACCGGCCACAUUGGGACUGAGAUACGGCCCAGACUCCUACGGGAGGCAGCAGUGGGGAAGAUUGCACGAUGGGCGGAAGCCUGAUGCAGCAACGCCGCGUGCGGGAUGACGGCCUUCGGGUUGUAAACCGCUUUCGCCUGUGACGAAGCGUGAGUGACGGUAAUGGGUAAAGAAGCACCGGCUAACUACGUG
rnacentral:rRNA from 1 species